UAUGAUCUUGAAACUCAAAAAUUUUGGCGGUAUUUUAGACUAUUCAGAGGAACCUGUAGCGUAAUUGAUAAUCCACGAUGGACCUUACUUAAAUUUGUUUUUCAAUUUGUAUACCGCCGUUAUAUGAAGAUUUUAGAAGAAUAAUAAUUUUCAAGAAUUUUUAUUAAAAAGUAAAUCAGGUCAAGGUGCAGUUUAUAUUUAAGUGUUUAUGGGUUACAAUAAAUUUAUUUAGRCGGAUUAAGAUUUGAAAAUUAAUCUUAUGAAGAUGGAUUUGAAAGUAAAUAUUUAAAGAUUAAGAUAUUGAUUUUAGCUCUAGGAUAUGCACAUAUCGCCCGUCACUCUUGUUAAUAAUAUAAGAUAAGUCGUAACAUAGUAGAUGUACUGGAAAGUGUAUCUAGAAUGACAAUUUAAAGCUUAUUAAGUAAAGUAUUUCAUUUACACUGAAGAGAUUAUUGUGCAAAUCAAUAUAAAUUGAUAUUAUAUAAUUAUUGAAAAUAUUUAUUAUUAAUUUUGUUAUUAGAAAUAACUAUUAUUUUAUUGUUGAAGUAUUUUAUAAAGAAAUAAUUUAUUUAAUUAUAUUAUAGUGAAUUAGGUAAUGUAAAUGAAUUUUGAAAUAAUUGAAAAAUACAUAUUAAUAAAGAAAAUUUAGUUUA
rnacentral:rRNA from 1 species